rfam:Triticum aestivum genome assembly, contig: Triticum_aestivum_CS42_TGACv1_scaffold_557811_7AL
CUUAUACUCCCUCCGUCCGGAAAAGCUUGUCCCUCAAAUGGAUGUAUCUAACACCAAGUUAGUGCUAGAUACAUCCAUUUGAGGGACAAGUUUGGGACAAGUUUUUCCGGACGGAGGGAGUAUUUU